UGCGUAGGCGGGUCUUUAAGUCAGGGGUGAAAUCCUGGAGCUCAACUCCAGAACUGCCUUUGAUACUGAGGAUCCUGAGUUCGGGAGAGGUGAGUGGAACUGCGAGUGUAGAGGUGAAAUUCGUAGAUAUUCGCAAGAACACCAGUGGCGAAGGCGGCUCACUGGCCCGAUACUGACGCUGAGGCACGAAAGGCUGGGAAGCAAACA
rnacentral:rRNA from 1 species